CCUACGGGCGGCAGCAGUGGGGAAUAUUGGACAAUGGGCGCAAGCCUGAUCCAGCCAUACCGCGUGGGUGAAGAAGGCCUUCGGGUUGUAAAGCCCUUUUGUUGGGAAAGAAAUCCAGCUGGUUAAUACCCGGUUGGGAUGACGGUACCCAAAGAAUAAGCACCGGCUAACUUCGUGCCAGCAGCCGCGGUAAUACGAAGGGUGCAAGCGUUACUCGGAAUUACUGGGCGUAAAGCGUGCGUAGGUGGUCGUUUAAGUCCGUUGUGAAAGCCCUGGGCUCAACCUGGGAACUGCAGUGGAUACUGGGCGACUAGAAUGUGGUAGAGGGUAGCGGAAUUCCUGGUGUAGCAGUGAAAUGCGUAGAGAUCAGGAGGAACAUCCAUGGCGAAGGCAGCUACCUGGACCAACAUUGACACUGAGGCACGAAAGCGUGGGGAGCAAACAGGAUUAGAUACCCCAGUAGUC
rnacentral:rRNA from 2 species